GACGAACGCUGGCGGCGUGCUUAACACAUGCAAGUCGAACGGAAAGGCCCUGCUUUUGUGGGGUGCUCGAGUGGCGAACGGGUGAGUAACACGUGAGUAACCUGCCCUUGACUUUGGGAUACCUUCAGGAAACUGGGGCUAAUACCGGAUAGGAGCUCCUGCUGCAUGGUGGGGGUUGGAAAGUUUCGGCGGUUGGGGAUGGACUCGCGGCUUAUCAGCUUGUUGGUGGGGUAGUGGCUUACCAAGGCUUUGACGGGUGGCCGGCCUGGGAGGGGGAACGGGGCCACUGGGCCUGAGAGACGGAGCAGACGGGUAUGUGAGGCAGUAGGGGCGAAUAUUGCACAAUGGGGCGGAGCGUGAGGCAGCAGCGCUGGGGGCGUGAAGACGUUUUGCGGGUUGAAAACUGCUUUCGCCUGUGACGAAGCGGGAGUGACGGUAAUGGGUAAAGAAGCACCGGCUAACUACGUG
rnacentral:rRNA from 1 species